rnacentral:rRNA from 1 species
UACGAAGGGGGCUAGCGUUGUCCGGAAUUACUGGGCGUAAAGGGCGCGUAGGCGGCUUGGUAAGUCGGGGGUGAAAGUCAGCGGCUCAGCCGCUGGACUGCCUUCGAGACUGCCUGGCUUGAGCAUGGUAGAGGCUGGCGGAAUUCCCGGUGUAGCGGUGGAAUGCGUAGAGAUCGGGAAGAACAUCGGUGGCGAAGGCGGCCAGCUGGGCCAUUGCUGACGCUGAUGCGCGACAGCGUGGGGAGCAAACAGG